rnacentral:sRNA from 1 species
UUAUGACCUGCUUCUGUGUUUAUGAUCUUAAGUGAUAAAGUCUUAGACAGUUGAAAGACAAUUGCUGAAUGACCUUACCUGUUGAUAUUAAUUUAUAUGACUUGAUUUCUUUCCCUAAGAUUGAAAAGGCUGUGGUGUCUCAGCGCCUGACAGAAUCUCCGUGUGCUUUGGUGGCCAGCCAGUACGGAUGGUCUGGCAACAUGGAGAGAAUCAUGAAAGCACAAGCGUACCAAACGGGCAAGGACAUCUCUACAAAUUACUAUGCGAGUCAGAAGAAAACAUUUGAAAUUAAUCCCAGACACCCGCUGAUCAGAGACAUGCUUCGACGAAUUAAGGAAGAUGAAGAUGAUAAAACAGUUUUGGAUCUUGCUGUGGUUUUGUUUGAAACAGCAACGCUUCGGUCAGGGUAUCUUUUACCAGACACUAAAGCAUAUGGAGAUAGAAUAGAAAGAAUGCUUCGCCUCAGUUUGAACAUUGACCCUGAUGCAAAGGUGGAAGAAGAGCCCGAAGAAGAACCUGAAGAGACAGCAGAAGACACAACAGAAGACACAGAGCAAGACGAAGAUGAAGAAAUGGAUGUG